rnacentral:rRNA from 1 species
AUGGACUCAAUUCUUUCUAAUGGAACUUGGGAACUAACUGAUAGACCAUAUGGUUGUAAACCUGUGGGCUGUAAGUGGGUGUUCAAAAAGAAGCUAAAGCCUGAUGGUACUAUUGAUAAGUACAAGGCGCGGCUAGUGGCCAAGGGCUACACUCAGAAAGAAGGCGAAGAUUACUUUGACACCUAUUCACCCGUUGCUAGAAUGACCACCAUUCGAGUCUUACUUUCCUUGGCUGCCUCUUAUGGUCUUAUCAUUCAUCAAAUGGAUGUAAAGACAGCUUUUCUCAAUGGAGAGUUGGAAGAGGAGAUCUAUAUGGAUCAGCCUGACGGGUUUGUGGUAAAGGGUGAAGAGAGAAAGGUGUGCAAGUUGUUAAAAUCUUUGUAUGGUCUGAAACAGGCACCUAAGCAAUGGCAUGAGAAGUUUGAAAGAACUCUGACUUCUGCAGGAUUUGUCAUUAACGAGGCUGAUAGGUGUGUUUACUAUCGCCAUGGUGGGGGCAAUAGUGUCAUAUUUUGUUUGUAUGUGGACGACAUACUGAUCUUUGGUACAAACAUUAAUGCAAUUAAUGAGGUCAAGUCUUUUCUAUCAAAGAGUUUUGACAUGAAAGAUCUGGGAGAAGCCGAUGUAAUUCUAAACAUCAAACUUAUUAAGGAUGAGAGUGGGAUUACAUUAACGCAAUCUCACUAUGUUGAGAAGGUCUUGAACCGAUUCGGUUUUAUGGAUAGCAAGCCUUCUCCAACACCUUAUGAUCCCAGCGUGACACUCAGAAAGAACAAGAAAGAAACGAGAGAUCAAUUAAGAUACUCUCAAAUUGUCGGUUCACUCAUGUACUUAGCUAGCGCUACAAGACCAGAUAUCUCUUUUGCUGUGAGCAAACUGAGUAGGUUCAUGUCCAACCCGGGUGAUGAUCAUUGGCAUGCACUAGAAAGGGUCUUGCGCUAUCUGAGAGGUACUAUGAGUUACGGCAUUACUUAUUCAGGGCAUCCUGCUGCGCUAGAAGGAUAUAGUGAUUCAAAUUGGAUCUCCGAUGUUGAUGUACUCUACGCAACAAGUGGGUAUGUAUUUACUCAUGGUGGUGGCGCAGUGUCAUGGAGGUCUUGCAAGCAAACCAUAUUGACGAGGUCAACUAUGGAAGCAGAAUUAACUGCUUUGGACACAGCUACUGUUGAGGCAGAAUGGCUGCGUGAGCUCUUGAUGGACUUGCCGGUUGUUGAAAAACCUGUACCGGCUAUUCUUAUGAAUUGUGAUAACCAAACGGUUAUCGCUAAAGUGAACAAUUCUAAAGAUAAUGCAAAGUCAUCAAGACACGUGAAGAGACGUUUGAAGUCUGUCAGGAAGUUGAGAAACUCCGGAGUAAUAACUGUUACGUAUAUACAAACAGACAAAAACCUGGCAGAUCCCUUUACAAAGGGACUAUCACGAAAUGUGAUAGAUAUUGCAUCGAGGGAGAUGGGUAUGAGACCCAUAGAAGAUGCUGUCCUACAGAGCAGUCUUGAAAGAACACACCUAUAUGAGUUCUGA